GCUUUAUGAUGUGAUGUGUUCUCAGGGGAGAAGAGACUGGGUUGGGAUGGAAAAGAAAAAGAGGGCUCUCAAAAAGGCUGAGAGGCAGGCAGACCAAACUUUCAAAGCUGUACGCAGCAAAGGAGCCCAGGGGCUGGGUGGACACAGCUGGGUGGGUGAGAGGGAGCAGGAGGGGAGAGGUACCUUCCGAGGCCUUGGCCUGCUUGCUGAUAUACUCCUCAAUCUUCAUCAUGAUCUCAGCAAACUGUUCAGGGAGGACAGAGAGACAGAACUCAGGACUCUCAGAAAGAAGAGCAACUGCACACAUCAGCCCUCCCGGCAGCUUCUCUCUACAGCCCACUCACCAUCUUGCUGUCCCACAGCUUGGCGAUACUCUUGACUGAAUCCCCAGAAAGAUCCAGCUGCGUCUCCUCCUGCACAUCCUCGAUUGCUGGCUCCUCUUCUUCCUCCCCAUAGCUUCCUCCUUCUUCCUCCUCUGCCGCCUCCUCAAGGUCGGCCAGAAGCUCAUCUGCCAGAGACAUGCCGAGGCCUAUGGGAAGGGAAAGCAGCAUCCCCUCUCAUUAACGAGAGGGGCUUGGCCUGGUCCUUCACGGGUCAGCCCCACAAGCAUGCAGGCUCCAUAAGCACGGGUAUUUUCUUUUGCUUUGUUCUUUGGCACCUAAUUGUGCCUGGCACCUAAUAGAUGCUCAUUAAACACCCACUGAAUCACUUUGUGAACAAACCUCCCAGAACUAGGUGAUCUCUGGUCACAGCUCACACCACCUUCCCUUCUCACACUUACUUCACUGGAAAAGACACAGCAUGCCCCUCACACAACCACUUUAAAAGACUUGAAGACUUUGAAAACCUCCCCUUGAUGAGAUGGGACCUCUCUUCUGACCAUUUUUCUCCCAUACAGAGACCCCUCUUCAAAAUUGUUGGGUGACAGAUAUCCUAAAAUACCAAUCUCCCCAGCCAUCAUGGCAACCAUGUGGGGCCUCAAGUGUCUGGAGCCCCCAGGCUGAUCCCCUCUGGCCAUGAGCAGUCUCCUCAUCUACUCCCGGUGUUGGACAAAACGUGUAUUUUCUUUGAGUCCCAUGAUGUGGAAAAGAGCAGGAAGCACGACUCAGCAAGAAAAGCUCUCUUCCCACAGAACACACCUUGCUCCCCAUACGCAGGACGUGGGUAUCUGUGCACAUCCUCUCCCGUUUCCCCACUUGACGGAACCAGCACGGCACAGACACGGCAGCAACGGGGUCUGCUCCCGCUACACCGCCAGAGCGCGGACGCCGCAGAGGCUUGGAGGACCUUCGCGCCACCCCUCCAGUAAGG